UCAAAACAGCCCUUGACAGUGCAGGUGUGUGUUGGUGUUUUUGAGCAGGCGUGUGUGUUCUUCGGACACAGGAGAGAGCUGCCACCGCCGCACUCAGCCCAGUGGAGGACACCAAGGCCAGAGUGAGAGAAGGAGAGAGAGAAGGGACAUAGAGCCAGGUUGCUAAAAAAUAAACUCCUCAGGGUUGUUGGAGAGUUGAUCUGGUUUCUGCUGGGAAAAGGUUCUAGAGACCGCUAAGAUGUUUUUCCGCAUCCCUCGACUGACCCCUGGAUACAUCAGAUACUUGCAGACUCAAGCUGCCCAGACCGUGCUGCAGAGCCGGGAAGGCCCCAUGAUGUCGAGGGUGGCCAUGCUGCUCGGGCUGAUGGGAGUUGGGAUGUCUGGGUACAGCUCACGACAGCUCACCCUGCACUGCAAGCCCUCCGCUAACCUGCUGAGAUGAGGCAAGACACAACACCUCUGACCUUCCACCCUGAAGACGACAACAUGGAUUAGAUCGAUCACUGGAGCAUAUCCAAUACCCCUGGAUUCCACUUACACUACAAGAAUAAUUAGUCUCUGUUUCCUAAAAAGGUUUUGUUUUAGUUGAGUUUUUUGUUUGUUACCCUUGCACCUUUGAUUUCCCCCAUUGUGGUUGAAGUUUGGGACGAACCAAGUUCAGAUUCUUAUUCUGAAGAGUUUAACAUUGAAGAUCGAUACUUUAAGGUUCUACACGUGCAGUUAUGACCAUAUAAGAUUAUCCCUCCAUUUAAAAAAAUCUAUGUUCUUUUAAACUACCUCUCCCUUU